rnacentral:lncRNA from 1 species
AGUUUUCCUAACCCAAUAGUCCAGUCUCUAAGGAAGCUAAGGUGUGUCUUAGUCAGGGUUUCUAUUCUUGCACAAACAACAUGACCAAGAAGCAAGUUGGGGAGGAAAGGGUUUAUUCAGCUUACACUUCUACAUUGCUGUUCAUCACCAAAGGAAGUCAGGACAGGAACUCACACAGAGCAGGAACUUGGAGACAGGAGCCGAUACAGAGACCAUGGAGGGGUGCUGCUUACUGGCUUGCUUCCCCUGGCUUGCUCAGCUUGCUUUCUUACAGAACCCAGAACUACCAGCCCAGGGAUCCAGGGAUGGCACCACCCACCAUGGGGCCUCCUAUCUUUGAUCACUAAUUGAGAAAGUGCCUUACAACUGGGUCUCAUAGUGGACGUGGGGUUCAAGGUCCUGCAGCUGCAUAGUGAGUAAGAAGCUCAACUUGGCUAUUUACAGCCUUCUCAAAAAAACAACACAAAAUGGUCUCCUUGACCCACAUGGAACCUUAUUAGAAAAAAAAAAGAAA